UACGGAGGAUCCGAGCGUUAUCCGGAUUUAUUGGGUUUAAAGGGUGCGCAGGCGGGAGAUUAAGUUGGCGGUGAAAAUUUGCAGCUCAACUGUAAAAGUGCCUUCGAAACUGGUUUCCUUGAGUGUAGAUGAAGUAGGCGGAAUUUGUGGUGUAGCGGUGAAAUGCUUAGAUAUCACGAGGAACUCCGAUUGCGCAGGCAGCUUACUAAACUACUACUGACGCUCAGGCACGAAGGCGUGGGGAUCAAACAGGAUUAGAUACCCUGGUAGU
rnacentral:rRNA from 1 species